GCCCAAUUUAUGUCCACAUCUAUCAUCUUGUUCCAUCACUAGCUCUAAAACCUAGCAAAAUAUAUGUGGUGCAGCUGACACUUGCCUAACAGAUAUUUUAACCAUGGCAACCACAGAUGUGGCUCUAUGAGAGUGGCAAGUAUACAGGGCAAAUAUCCUUGCCCAACAAGGGAAUGAUACUAAUUAGUGCAUUCGGUUAACAUACAGGUCAUACAAAGAGGUCAUAUAAUACCAUCAGCGGCACGAAACCAGAUCUACAAGGUCAAGACCAUAUGUAAGCAAUAGCACAUUUA
rnacentral:misc_RNA from 1 species